CUGGCAGAGUAAACACUUAACACAUUCUGGUAAUGAGUCUUUUUUCUUUGAUGAAGCAACUGGAGUUCUUCGAUUUCAGCGUAGACAAUUGGCACAUUGCGAACGAAGCCCAGCCAAAAACAUCAUUGGCGCAAGUAACGAUGGUUCAACUGUCGCUGGAGAAAGUCUGGGGUUCGACAUAUCUCAUACCGGGCUGUAAAGCAGCAGCCAACCCUCGAGUACUACGGUGACACGAUUGUCCCACGUCUUACGAUGAUAAUCGAUCUGGCUCCCCCGAACUGUUAACUUAAUCUUAUGUUGUUUUCUUUUAGAUGCAGUGCAUUAGUGUUAGUAGAUCUGUGGGUUACGUGUAUGUCGGUAAUAUCAUACAGACAUAGAGUACAGACGGACAUGGGAAACAGUGCAAAACAGUAUUGGGAUGUACGGAUAUGGGGAGUGAUUUGAAAGGUGGCCGGGAGUCGUAUCAACACUCGGCGCCAUAUCCAUGGUCGCACAUUCAGGUUGAAUUAUUUCCGGAGGCAAAUCAUAGCCUUAAAUGAGAGUCAAGGUGAUUUUCUAAUUUUUUUUAUCGUAUUAAGUCAAAACAAUACCUAAGUAGGAUAGCCUUCGACUGCUAUGUGUGAGUCUCGUGUUAAAAUCCAAGUUUAUACAACUUAUAUUUAAACUGGUAUCCUAGUUUCCUAUUGUAGUUCUUACUUUGUGACUGGCUUCAUAAUUUAAUUUAAUGUUACAUAUUCAAGUUACAUAGGUAUGGCUGCAGUCACGGUUCAUUGACUUAUUCAAGACGCAACGUUUGCAGUCACGGAUGUGUGUUCGUGCCAAGUUUUCUGCUUCAUCGAUCGUGUGAGCCUGUAUGAAAUUGUGGUCUCCCAAGUGAAGUCCCAACAGGUGGUUGGAACAAAACAGUAAAGUCAAACCUGUGGUAAUUGCCUAGUCUCCCAGAUCACGUCGGUAAAAGAAGCGUAAAAAACAGCCACAACAAGUGUAAGCCUAGAAAGUGCGGUAUGAUGCCAGUGGCUAUGAAGAAUCCAGUUGUGAAGAACAAGUGAAGUGAAGUGUUAAGUGCUGAGUGGACUGCUGGAAUGGACUGCUGAGGCUUGCCAUAAUGUUAUUGCUUGAAAUAACAGGAACUCCAAUCUACACUCUACAAGUGCACCACUGUCAACAUUUCCAGGCAGGAAUCCAGUAAUGAAGAAAAAGUACCUGAUGGAGUGAGCUAAAACGUCAAGUUUCAGCCUACCCACUUGAAAUGCUUAAGCUAGGCUAUAUCCAUGUCAAAAUGGCCCAUUUCGGAAUUCCAAUCCAAUUAAUCUUCAGCUUAUGAUGACGCGAAUGUGUCAAAGCAAGCAGACGAAAUGCUAAGUAAUCUGUCGCAUUCUGGGGUGCCUCAUCAGAAAAUAUGGGAAAAAGAGCUGCAGUCGUUGCAGUAACCUGUACAUAAAUUUACGUUCACUGUAUAUAGCUAGCUAGUUCACCAAUACUUUUUGUUAAAAGCUAAAGGUAGCUAAAGGUGUUUAACAAUAUUUAUUUAGCGUGCAGAUUGUCUACUGUCUAAAGAAGUCACCAGCCAAACCAUUUUUGGCCGAGAAUGAAUGUAUUUGGUGCAGCAGAAACCAGUUCAAUUUUUACUACAAAGUUAAAAACAAAUUAGAAUUAAAAGGAUUUUUUC
rnacentral:lncRNA from 1 species